rnacentral:rRNA from 1 species
UCUGGUUGAUCCUGCUAGUAGUCAUAUGCUUAUCUCAAAGAUUAAGCCAUGCAUGUGUAAGUAUGAACAAAUUUAGACUGUGAAACUGUGAAUGGCUUGUUAAAUCAAUUAUAGUUUGUUUGAUGGUAUUUGCUACUCGGAUAACUGUAGUAAUUCUAGAGCUAAUACGUCAAACAAACCCUGACUUCUGGAAGGGAUGCAUUUAUUUGAUAAAAGGUCGACGCGGACUUUGCUUGUUGCUCUGAUGAUUCAUGAUAACUCGACAGAUUGCACGACCUUUGUGCCGGCAACGCAUCAUUCAAAUUUUUGCCCUAUCAACUUUCGAUGGUAAGAUAGUGGCCUACUAUGGUGGUGACGGGUGAUUGAGAAUUAGGGUUCAAUUCUGGAGAGGGAGCCUGAGAAACGACUACCACAUCCAAGGAAGGCAGCAGGCAUGCAAAUUACCCAAUCCUGACACGGGGAGGGAGUGACAAUAAAUAACAAUACCGUGCUCUAUGAGUCUGGUAAUUGGAAUGAGUACAAUCUAAAUUCCUUAAUAAGGAUCCACUGGACGGCAAGUCUGGUGCCAACAGCCGCGGUAAUUCCAGUUCCAAUAGCGUAUAUUUAAGUUGUUGGAGUUAAAAAGCUCGUAGUUAGACUUAGGGGUGGGUCAACCGGUCUGCCUCACGGUGAGCACCGGUCUGCUCGUCCUUACUAUCGGUAAUGCAUUCCUGGCCUUAAUUAGCUAGGUCGAUCCUCCAGCGCUGUUACUUUAAAGAAAUUAGAGUGCUCAAAGCAGGCCUACGCUUGUAUACAUUAGCAUGGGAUAACAUCAUAGGAUUUCGAUCCUAUUGUGUUGGCCUUCGAGAUCAGAGUAAUGAUUAACAGAGACUGUUGGGGGCAUUAGUAUUUCAUAGUCAAAGGUGAAAUUCUUGGAUUUAUGAAAGAUGAACAACUGCGAAAGCAUUUUCCAAGGAUGUUUUCAUUAAUAAAGAACGAAAGUUGGGGUCUCGAAGAGGAUCAGAUACCGUCCUAGUCUUAACCAUAAAUGAUACCGACCAGGGAUCAGCAGAUGUUGCGUUUAAGACUCUACUGGCACCUUAUGAGAAAUCAAAGUCUUUGGGUUCUGGGGAGAGUAUGGUCGCAAGGCUGAAACUUAAAGGAAUUGACGGAAGGUCACCACUAAGAGUGGAGCCUGCGACUUAAUUUGACUCAACACGGGGAACUUACUAGGUCCAGACAUUGUAAGAAGGGUUCUGGGGAUGUUGAUUUGUUUUGUCUGGUCUUAUGUUUUUGGUCUUUGUUUUAGCUUUUGAUACUGUUUGGUGUAUUUAUUUUGAUGCGAAAGGAUCUCAUAUUGAUUAACGUUGGAAAAGACGUUCUUGCAGUGCCAUCGAGCGAUCUUCACGGUGAUUUUUAUCCUUUUUUGCUAUAUUUUCUUUCGAUUCUUAGUGUUUUUGGGUGCGUUUUUCAAUGUUAAAGUGUGAAGUGCAUGUUUUAUUUGGGAUAAGUAGCUAAAAGCUUUGUGGCAGGUCCCAUGAUGGACAAGAAAAG